rnacentral:rRNA from 1 species
GAUGAACGCUAGCGGGAGGCCUAACACAUGCAAGCCGAGCGGUAGAGUUUCUUCGGAAACUUGAGAGCGGCGCACGGGUGCGUAACACGUGUGCAACCUACCUUUAUCUGGGGGAUAGCCUUUCGAAAGGAAGAUUAAUACCCCAUAAUACAAUGAUUGGCAUCAAUUAUUAUUGAAAACUCCGGUGGAUAGAGAUGGGCACGCGCAAGAUUAGAUAGUUGGUGAGGUAACGGCUCACCAAGUCAAUGAUCUUUAGGGGUCCUGAGAGGGAGAUCCCCCACACGGGUACUGAGACACGGACCAGACUACUACGAGAGGCAGCAGUGAGGAAUAUUGGACAAUGGGUGAGAGCCUGAUCCAGCCAUCCCGCGUGAAGGAGGACGGUCCUAUGGAUUGUAAACUUCUUUUGUACAGGGAUAAACCUACCCUCGUGAGGGUAGCUGAAGGUACUGUAAGAAUAAGCACCGGCUAACUCCGUG